GGCGAGGUAGCUCAGCGGUCAGAGCACGCGGCUCAUACCCGCGGUGUCGUGGGUCCGAUUCCCACCCUCGCCA
rnacentral:tRNA from 1 species